rnacentral:rRNA from 1 species
UGGAAUUCCAUCCCCCUCUGCCGUACUCCAGCCUUGCAGUCACAAAGGCAGUUCCCAGGUUGAGCCCGGGGAUUUCACCUCUGUCUUACAAAACCGCCUGCGCACGCUUUACGCCCAGUAAUUCCGAUUAACGCUCGCACCCUACGUAUUACCGCGGCUGCUGGCACGUAGUUAGCCGGUGCUUAUUCUUCAGGUACCGUCAUCCCCACGAGGUAUUAACCCACAGGAUUUCUUCCCUGACAAAAGCAGUUUACAACCCGAAGGCCUUCUUCCUGCACGCGGCAUUGCUGGAUCAGGGUUGCC